rnacentral:lncRNA from 1 species
CAAUUUACAUUCGGUUUAGCAGCUCAGGUACAGAUAUUUUUUGCCUGCCCUUCUGAAUGUCCGUUUGAGCUCAAAUUUUAAAAUCAGGCUUGAUUUUACUUAACUUGACGAAAAAAAUUUUAAUCUUUCAGUUUCGACCCUGUUUGGUCACUGAAAACUCUACCGAACUGUAAUCUCUAGCAGAUAGCAAUCGGAUUUUAUUUUCCACCUUCCGGGUGUCAGAAUGACAUGAAACUUUAAAUCUAACCUCAUAAAAAUAAUUCUGACAUAUUCUCCAGUUUUCAUAAUUUUCUGACACUGUGCAUUUUUUGCUAAAAUAUCAGCCCCGUUUCUCACAGAAAAUUCUAAAUCUUCUGUUUUCAUUUCGAUUUCAGCACAAGUCGCUUCCGACUUAUACUUACUUCUUUAAAUCCAAUAAAAAUAGUAUCUCACACUAUUUUUAUUUAUUUUUACUUUUAUAUUAAAAUCCGGUAUGUUACAUCCCCGGUAGUGUGCCCACAUCUGCCGUGUGUAUAAGGCUCCCUAACACAUAAU